rnacentral:rRNA from 1 species
GAUGAACGCUGGCGGCGUGCCUAAUACAUGCAAGUCGAGCGAACAGACGAGGAGCUUGCUCCUCUGACGUUAGCGGCGGACGGGUGAGUAACACGUGGAUAACCUACCUAUAAGACUGGGAUAACUUCGGGAAACCGGAGCUAAUACCGGAUAAUAUAUUGAACCGCAUGGUUCAAUAGUGAAAGACGGUUUUGCUGUCACUUAUAGAUGGAUCCGCGUCGCAUUAGCUAGUUGGUAAGGUAACGGCUUACCAAGGCAACGAUGCGUAGCCGACCGGAGAGGGUGAUCGGCCACACUGGAACUGAGACACGGUCCAGACUCCUACGGGAGGCAGCAGUAGGGAAUCUUCCGCAAAGGGCGAAAGCCUGACGGAGCAACGCCGCGUGAGUGAUGAAGGUCUUCGGAUCGUAAAACUCUGUUAUUAGGGAAGAACAAAUGUGUAAGUAACUAUGCACGUUUUGACGGUACCUAAUCAGAAAGCCACGGCUAACUCCGUG